rnacentral:rRNA from 1 species
GAUGAACGCUGGCGGCGUGCUUAACACAUGCAAGUCGAACGAAGCACCUCUCCCGAAGAUUGACACAGCUUGCUGUAGAUUGAUUCAUUUGAGGUGACUGAGUGGCGGACGGGUGAGUAACGCGUGGGUAACCUGCCUCAUAGAGGGGGACAACAGUUGGAAACGACUGCUAAUACCGCAUAGUAAGAAGAAUUCGCAUGUUUUCUUCUUGAAAGAUUUAUCGCUAUGAGAUGGACCCGCGUCUGAUUAGCUAGUUGGUAAGGUAACGGCUUACCAAGGCGACGAUCAGUAGCCGGCUUGAGAGAGUGAACGGCCACAUUGGGACUGAGACACGACCCAAACUCCUACGGGAGGCAGCAGUGGGGAAUAUUGCACAAUGGGGAAACCCUGAUGCAGCGACGCCGCGUGAGUGAAGAAGUAUUUCGGUAUGUAAAGCUCUAUCAGCAGGGAAGAUAAUGACGGUACCUGACUAAGAAGCCCCGGCUAACUACGUG